AUGAUCAGUCUGGAGUUGCCGUCGCGCUGGUCGGAAAUCAAAGCAAGGCUUCCCGCGAACGGGGCCGUCCGACCGCGAGCUUCGGUCAGGCCAGACGCAAUUGUCUCCCGCUCCGAGGACGCCGCAACCGGUCGGGCAGUUUGCAAACGUGACGGCCUGGAAGGCGGACGACGGCAGGUGGCCGGUGGGGAGCUCUAUGCGCUCCGCCGGUUGUUAGCCGGUCCGUCGGUGGCACGUCCCCCGACCGAGGUAUCGAGAUGCCCCCAGGGGCGUCCACGUCUCCUCCUCCAAGGAAGUCGGGACCGUCCGUCGCGAGCGAAGGCAGCCGCGCGGCCGCACUCCGCCGGAGUGGGCCAGCGUCUAGUCGGCGCCGGCGGCGACGGAGGACCCGUCGGAGGUCGGAGGUUGGCGGCGAGUAGGUCGGUCACCCACCCGACCCGUCUUGAAACACGGACCAAGGAGUCUAACAUGUGCGCGAGUCAAUGGGUCUCGAAUAAGCCCAGAGGCGCAAUGAAAGCGAAGGUCGGCGCCACGCCGACCGAGUCGGGAUCCCCCUUCUCGCAGGGGGGGGGGCUUCCGACAACCCCGCCGUGCCCGUUUACGGGUUGGGAGGAGGGGGAUGGUCAACUUUGGGCCCCCAAGACGGGGCAACAUGACCCGGGGGGGGAAGGGCCCAAGGAAACUUAGGUGGAGGUCCCUCGUGGUACCUACGUCUAAGUCCUACGGAAAACUCGGGCCAUGGGGGAAAAAAUUAACCUAACAAAUUCUUUUAUAAUUUUUUACGUAUAUAUAUAACUUUUAUAUCAAUAUUAAUUCUAUUUAUAUAUUAUUUCUAUAAUUUACUAAUUU
rnacentral:rRNA from 1 species